rnacentral:rRNA from 1 species
GACGAACGCUGGCGGCGUGCCUAAUACAUGCAAGUUGAGCGCUGAAGGUUGGUUCUUGUACCAACUGGAUGAGCAGCGAACGGGUGAGUAACGCGUGGGUAAUCUGCCUUUGAGCGGGGGACAACAUUUGGAAACGAAUGCUAAUACCGCAUAAAAACUUUAAACACAAGUUUUAUGUUUGAAAGAUUCAAUUGCAUCACUCAACUCUGAUCCCGCGUUGUAUUAGCUAGUUGGUGAGGUAAAGGCUCACCAAGGCGAUGAUACAUAGCCGACCUGAGAGGGUGAUCGGCCACAAUGGGACUGAGACACGGCCCAAAAUCCUACGGGAAGGAGCAGUAGGGAAUCGUCGGCAAUGGACGAAAGUCUGACCGAGCAACGCCGCGUGAGGGAAGAAGGGUUUCGGAUCGUAAAACUCUGUUGGUAGAGAAGAAAGUUGGUGAGAGUGGAAAGCUCAUCAAGUGACGGUAACUACCCAGAAAGGGACGGCUAACUACGUG